AGAAGAAGAAAGUGCCAGAGCUAAGAGCUAAUAUAUUCCCAGUCUAUGCAUGGAUAAAGGAAUGAUAAGAGCUAUGAGCAUUUUAUUGAACUAUACUACAACUAAUAUAUAUAAGGACAAAUCAACUAGAAAAAACUGUUGCCAAAGAAACCAUUUGAUUAAGCUUAUUCGUUCGCGCUACAUAGAAGAACUAGAGGCCGCCAAGGUGUUCAACCAUUAGACAAGCAGGUAGGAUCCUUUGCUUACUACUUGAAGCAGAAACCUAGAAGAGAUACUUUCUAUUCCGAAAUCCAUAUUAUUUCUGGUCCGCUUCAUUCAUUCCCUUACUAAUAAAUCCAAUUCAUCGCUAAUGGCGAAACCAGCCUGUAUGUACACCGCACAACUAACCGUUGCUUGGUAGGUUCGAUCAGCUCUUCUCACCUUUCCAUUGACAUCUACUAAGUCUUCACCUUAAGUGGGUUCAGCCGCCCCAAAUCUGACUCGAUCCAGGGUUAUAUAUCAUAAAGGGCUUCGACAAGGGGUUUGAUUCGUUCUUUGAGCAAAUAGAUAAGGUCGGAAUACCGGAGUUCUUUCUUUUCUUC
rnacentral:lncRNA from 1 species